AUCCACGCGGGAGGCUGAGGGGGGCUUCCCAUUGUGUAGAGAAGGGGAUGUUGCCAUGACAACCAACCCCCACUAAGGGGCAAGGACCAGCCUUUCCACCCCCUACGAGCCUCCCCACUUCGGGCAGCUCCAGUGUGGGCUCAGAAGAAUAAGAACCAUCCACCUCCCACCUCCUGAUCCCCCAGACUAAGCCACUUGGAGUUCCAGCCAGAC
rnacentral:lncRNA from 1 species